rnacentral:sRNA from 1 species
GCUGGAUGUGGUGGUGCAUUCCUGUAAUCCCAGUGACUUGGGAGGCUGAGACAGGAGGGUUGCAAGUGUGAGGCCAGCCUCUGCAACUUAGUGAGACUCUAUCUCAA